rnacentral:rRNA from 1 species
UACAGAGGGGGCGAGCGUUGUUCGGAAUUACUGGGCGUAAAGGGCGCGUAGGCGGCCUGCUAUGUCGAACGUGAAAUCCCCGGGCUCAACCCGGGAACUGCGUCCGAAACUGGCAGGCUUGAAUCCGGGAGAGGGAUGUGGAAUUCCAGGUGUAGCGGUGAAAUGCGUAGAUAUCUGGAGGAACACCGGUGGCGAAGGCGGCAUCCUGGACCGGUAUUGACGCUGAGGAGCGAAAGCCAGGGGAGCAAAGCGGG